UAGGGAAUCUUCCGCAAUGGACGAAAGUCUGACGGAGCAACGCCGCGUGAGUGAAGAAGGAUUUCGGUUCGUAAAACUCUGUUGUUAGGGAAGAAAAAAUGUAUAGUAACUAUAUACAAAAGAGACGGUACCUAACCAGAAAGCCACGGCUAACUACGUGCCAGCAGCCGCGGUAAUACGUAGGUGGCAAGCGUUGUCCGGAAUUAUUGGGCGUAAAGCGCGCGCAGGUGGUUUAGAAAGUCUGAUGUGAAAGCCCACGGCUCAACCGUGGAGGGUCAUUGGAAACUAAUAAACUUGAGUGCAGGAGAGAAAAGUGGAAUUCCUAGUGUAGCGGUGAAAUGCGUAUAGAUUAGGAGGAACACCGGUGGCGAAAGCGGCUUUUUGGCCUGCAACUGACACUGAGGCGCGAAAGCGUGGGGAGCAAACAGG
rnacentral:rRNA from 1 species